GGUUGAUACAGCAUUUUCAUAAUAAAAUGAAAAGUUUUAAGUGUGUUUAAUAAAACUGGCGAGUUACCCGCCAAGGGUACUCAGCAACGGCGUGAUCCCGGCUGUUAUAGGAACUUAAAGUAUUCCCGGUCACGUGAUGCCUAAAAUCUAGCAGAUUUCUAGUUAUAUAUCUUGGAUUCCUUUACGACUGAAUCAUACAGAAUGCAAAUUAUAAAUUAAACGAUAAAAGUCUUCCAAAUAUCAAAUAUUUAUUGAUCUCAUCUUGGAUUGCUAACUAAACAAAUCUGCUAGAUUUUAGCAGAUCACGUGACCAGCGUCUACCAGGGUCUUCUCCCCUCGCCAAAUGAAAGACCCAGCUGGGUGCGAGGUUGGCGGAGCCGAGUAUCUUUAUGUCUGAUAAAACAGGCACUGCGAAUGUUUUAAAUUGCAUAAAACACGAUGGAUCUAGUAAGUUCAUUGGCGAAGUAAUUUUCAAAAAGUACGUUGUGUGAGUUGAGAAAAUCAAAGUUAAAGUUUAUGUAAAUCAAGGGAAAUCUCUAUCACAUCUAAAGAUUCGACAAGCUUAUGAUUUUUCUCAUGUGUUUUCCUCAUGAAUUAUUAAUAAGUUUUUGUAGUAUAGUAUUAACAAUAUACAUAAAAAGAUAUAUAUUCCUAUAUGAACAGAUGACUUAAACUAAGUUCUAAGAGUUUACUUCAAUUUACCUUUGAAAUCAUGGUUUAAUAAUUAAUUAUUCGUGCUCUUUUGUUUGGUGUGGCAAACUUAAUCUCUAUUGCCAUUUCCGUAACAGCAAGACCUUAAUAUUUUAUCGUCUAAUCCUCUCCUUUGGUUAUUUAAUUAAAAAGACAUAUUAAACAAAAUAUAGUUGUUGGACAAGGAACUGGUCCCCAAUCGCUGCUAAUCUUGUUGUUG